rnacentral:rRNA from 1 species
CUUCGGCCCGAGUUGUAAUUUGCAGAGGAUGUUUAUGGUGCGGUACCUUCCGAGUUCCCUGGAACGGGACGCCACAGAGGGUGAGAGCCCCGUCUGGUUGGAUACCAAACCUGUGUUAAACUCCUUCAACGAGUCGAGUAGUUUGGGAAUGCUGCUCUAAAUGGGAGGUAAAUCUCUUCUAAAGCUAAAUACCGGCCAGAGACCGAUAGCGCACAAGUAGAGUGAUCGAAAGAUGAAAAGCACCUUGAAAAGGGGGUUAAACAGUACGUGAAAUUGUUAAAAGGGAAGCGUUUAUGACCAGACUUGUGUCGUGUGGCUCAUCCGAGGUUCUCCCCGGUGCACUCCACACGGCUCAGGCCAACAUCGGUUCUCGUUGGGGGAUAAGAACAGCAGGAACGUGGCCCUCUUCGGAGGGUGUUAUAGCCUGCUGUACGAUACCCUGAUGGGGACCGAGGACCGCGCUUCGGCUAGGAUGUUGGCGUAAUGGUCAUUAGCGACCCGUCUUGAAACACGGACCAAGGAGUCGUCCAUUAGAGCGAGCGUUUGGGUGUAAAACCCGCACGCGUAAUGAAAGUGAAAUUAGGUGAGAGCUUCGGCGCAUCAUCGACCGAUCCUGAAGUUUACGGAUGGAUUUGAGUAAGAGUUUUAACGGACGGACCCGAAAGACAGUGAACUAUGCUUGAAUAGGGUGAAGCCAGAGGAAACUCUGGUGGAGGCUCGCAGCGGUUCUGACGUGCAAAUCGAUCGUCAAAUUUGAGCAUGGGGGCGAAAGACUAA